CCUACUGACCUACUUCUAAUAUUUUAGCAUCAGUUUGCCAUUUUUAAAGCUUCAGCUACAACAUUUGUUCAAGCAAACAACUCUACUCAGGUGAGCGAUAUAGGGCCAUCAUGGCCCUCUUGUUCUAAAUUUGUAAUAAACAUUAGUCUUAUAAGUAAGUACAAUUUUAUAUGAAAGUUUCUGUAAUCAUUUUAUAUUAUAUGAAAUUGUCAUAGUGCUUAAAUAACUAGCAUGCUUUUUUUCAUCCUGUCAUGGGUAUCGUUUCUAUUUAUGCUACAGAUUUAUUUGAUUUUAUCGCUUAAAUUUUUAGGGAGUAUUGUGACUUUCUUUGGUAAUAAAUUGUCACAGUUACAGCUAUGGAAGUUAGUCAAACCGUUUCUUUAAGUAUGGGGAAAUAGUUUUAGUACAUUACAGCUCUAUGCACAUUAUGAUGCCUCUGUAUGAUAUUUAACACUUUUUGCACAAUUUGUCUUUCAUUAAAAGCCAGUACCCCAUUGAAAUUUAGGGAGAUGUUAGGCUGAAUAAAUUUAUUCCAGUUUUGCUUCAUUGUAUAGUUUGGGAUGUUUAAAUAGUUUCGUACUGUCAUUUUAUUAUACACCAUGAUACAGUCAAACUUCGUUUGCUCAAACUUGGAUGAAUCAAACACUAGCCUUCGUUCGAACUCAUCGUCAGGUCCCAGCAAAAUCCCUAUAUAAUGCAUUUUGUUUGAUGCCUUGAACUUGUCUACAGGUAACUCAAACUAAUUUUACUGGUCCCGUCAAGUUCAAGCAAAUCAAAUUUGACUGUACUUUGCCUUGUUAGCUCAUUAAAUAGAGCACAAGAUCAUAACUUAAGAUGUCAUGAUCCGCAGGUAAGGUGAAUGUUGAAAUGUGAGGUCAUGAAUGACAUCAACCAGCGAAGCAAAAUGUUGAAUUCUGACGUAAUGAGUUUUAAUCCAAAGACAAGGCGAAAUGUUGAAUUGUGAUUGGUUGUGAGUUUGUUCCACAGGUACGGUGAAUGUUGAAUUCAGGAGCUCAUGAGUUUGGUCCAAAGACUAGGUAUAAUGUUGAAUUGCAAGGUUUGAUCCAUGGACUCUCCCGUAAUCAUUUAAGUGUUUUUAAAUGGCGCUUAAUCCCAAUGUAAUGGGGAAAAGAAAACGACAAAAAAAACACAUUGUGUAAACAAGAUUUUUUUCUGUAAAUAUGUUGUUCUAGAGAUGUUGUUAUUAGUAUAAUGUUGUAGAUAUUGUUAAUGUUUGAUAAACUUGAAUACUUACUAAACUGUUUGAUCAUUUUAUUUUUCUUUUAAUCAAAGUCAGAUAUAUUGUGUUCAUCCAAAAUUGUGUUUAGUUGAUUGAUAACUUUAAUGUGAUAUUUUUACAAUUUCUUUUGCUUCACUUGAAUAAAAAUAGAAUGCUUGUACUUUAGUUUACAGAUAAUUAUUUUGGUCUUUCAGAGCUUCUUUGAAUUAUAUGUUCUCCUGUUAAUAGCCAGUCUGAUUUCUGAGCUGAUUCUCAGCUAAAGUGCAUUUGUGCAUUUUUACUCGUUUUAUGCCUCCCCAGUUUUGAAAACCAGGGAGGCAUAUUCUGUUUGAAUGGUCCGUCCAUCAGCCUGUCACUCACACUUCAAGUUUUUUAUAUAUUUUUUCAGUUAUGGCCCUUUUUGGACUUGGAAAUGUUACAACUGCAUCAAAACAUUCCUGUUGGAUUGUUUUUCCUGGAGUUUUGGCCGUGGCCCUGUUGUGGACUUUAUGAUUCUAUCAAGCAUUUUAGGGGUUAAUGCAAUAUUGACAUCAUUAUUCUUAUCUUUACACCUUUUAAGAUCUUUUAACUGAAACCUUCAAGUUAGAAAUUUUAGUAAGAAUAGUAUAAAGUGAUUAUAGCAGCACUUCAGUUUCUAUCAUGCACCACUUUGUAACUUUAUCAACUAUGCAUUUAUAACUUUAGAAGGAAAUAGAUAUUCCCAUUUUGAUUUUAUAUUAUUUUCCAUAUUUAAUUCUUUACAAAACGGAACUGUUACAUGUAUAUACUCUGUAUCAAUGUUAGGUAUUUUGAAAUUUCUUUCUUAUGGUGAUUAUGAUUGACUUCACUUGGGAAGAGUUUAAGUCAAGUUGUUUUGUACAGCAUACAGGUAUGUAAUGAUGUGAGGGUAGAUAAGCAAUUAUUCUGGACUUUUGCAAUAUAUAUUUCAGUUACUUGUAAAGAUAAAAUAGCGAAAUAUUGGAAGAUGAUAUACUGAAAUGUCUAAAAUUUAAUAGUGUUGCAGUUAAAAAUUUGCAGUGAUUAUCAGUGAUUCUGAGCAAGUGCUCCUGAAAAAAGAGUGAAGUAACUUUCAGAAUAAAUUUAUCUCAAAAUUUUAGCUAUCUCGAGACAUUUUCAAGUCUGGUUAUAAAAACACAUGCACAAAAUAUCAUUUUAAGUAGAGUUUCGGUUAUCUCAAAGUAAAAUGCUCAAUCCCUUAGAAUUCAAGAUACCGCGUUUCAACUGUUUAUGCAAAUACAUGUAUAAGGAAGAGUGGUUCGUAAACAUUGUUGAUUAAGGAAGUAAAAAUGUGUUACUAGUAAGGGAGAAUAUUUUGAAAAAUUUUGAUUUCCAAAAAGUCAUUAUUGACAGUCCAACAUUAAUUAUGCAACUGAUAUACACUGCUACAUAUAAGAUGAUCAGUUGUAAAUACAUGUCCUGGGACUAUAUGCAACUCAAUUGCUGUAGUACAUUUAGACAUGAUAGUCUGUUAUCUGCAGUUUUGUGUGAUAUAAUUUUGUGAUGCAAUUAUCAUUCCUUUGUAUUCAGAAAUAAAAAUACAUACAAAUUUAAUGUUGUUACCAAAAUUGAACAGAACAAAAAAAAAAUCUAUCCAUUUUGAUCUUGUAGGUUCAUUUACAUACUUGCACAGCAUAGUUUAACACAAAAAAAGUGUGACCCUAGAAAAAUCCAAGAUAUUGCCAUUUGUAAUGAAUUUUAACUGUUUCCACUGUACAUUGUCAGGAAAUAAUCAUGCCAGUAUUGUUGUACAUUGUUUAGAUUAGGCAUUCAUUUAAAAUUCUGGUCAUACAUACUGCUAAUAUUAUUGUCACAAGAACCUGUCUUAUAAAUUGGUAUGCUGUUUAGAGCUUAACUUUUCUGUUCUGUUUUAGUUAAGUAUAUUUUUCAUAGUUUAUCAUUUGUUAGUUUUCAUCUUUGCAUGGUGAUAUUUAAUCUUUUAAGAUGGUGAUAUAUCAAAGUUAUGCAUUUAUUACUUUUUCAAAUAAAAAAAAAGAUUCUGCACUGUU
rnacentral:lncRNA from 1 species